UACGUAGGGUGCGAGCGUUGUCCGGAAUUACUGGGCGUAAAGGGCGCGUAGGCGGCCUUCUAAGUCGAACGUGAAAUCCCCGGGCUCAACCCGGGAACUGCGUCCGAUACUGGAAGGCUUGAAUCCGGGAGAGGGAUGCGGAAUUCCAGGUGUAGCGGUGAAAUGCGUAGAUAUCUGGAGGAACACCGGUGGCGAAGGCGGCAUCCUGGACCGGCAUUGACGCUGAGGAGCGAAAGCGUGGGUAGCAAACAGG
rnacentral:rRNA from 1 species